AGACUAUGAGGAUGAUCCAGCAGUGACACCUGUUACCCCACUGAUCACUAGGGUUGAUUAUUACGUUGAUAUGGCUGCUUAGUUGGGUGUUUCCUUCUCUCCUCAUAGUUCAAAGCAUAUCCCUCCCAAAAGUCCUGUGCUCAGAUCAAGAGGACAACUUCCCAUAUUGAGAAAGACUGGUGUUUUCUUUGUUUUUGUUAAGGAUAUGUGAAUAGCUGCAUUCCCCAACAAAACCUCCAAACAAGAGCUCUAAAGAAACUAGAAAUGGAGUUUUAGGUGUUAAGGUUGUCACACAGUUUUGUUUUGGUGCUGGGGAUCAAACCCAU
rfam:Mesocricetus auratus contig025967, whole genome shotgun sequence.